UGGGGGAUAUUGCGCAAUGGGGGAAACCCUGACGCAGCAACGCCGCGUGAAGGAAGACGGUUUUCGGAUUGUAAACUUCUUUUGUUAAGGACGAUAAUGACGGUACUUAACGAAUAAGCUCCGGCUAACUACGUGCCAGCAGCCGCGGUAAUACGUAGGGAGCAAGCGUUAUCCGGAUUUACUGGGUGUAAAGGGUGCGUAGGCGGCUUUGCAAGUCAGAUGUGAAAAUUAUGGGCUCAACCCAUAACCUGCAUUUGAAACUGCAGAGCUUGAGUGAAGUAGAGGCAGGCGGAAUUCCCUGUGUAGCGGUGAAAUGCGUAGAGAUAGGGAGGAACACCAGUGGCGAAGGCGGCCUGCUGGGCUUUAACUGACGCUGAGGCACG
rnacentral:rRNA from 1 species